ncrna:unclassified sequences DTF3800-XI RNA
AGGGCUGACCGAAAGGUUCGGGUCCUACUACGGCGGGGAAGUUACCC